rnacentral:rRNA from 1 species
AUUGAACGCUGGCGGCAGGCCUAACACAUGCAAGUCGAGCGGGGUUUUCGGACCUAGCGGCGGACGGGUGAGUAAUGUGUAGGAAGCUACCCGAUAGAGGGGGAUACCAGUUGGAAACGACUGUUAAUACCGCAUAAUGUCUACGGACCAGAGUGUGGGACCUUCGGGCCACAUGCUAUCGGAUGCGCCUACGUGGGAUUAGCUAGUUGGUGAGGUAAUGGCUCACCAAGGCGACGAUCCCUAGCUGGUUUGAGAGGAUGAUCAGCCACACUGGAACUGAGACACGGUCCAGACUCCUACGGGAGGCAGCAGUGGGGAAUAUUGGACAAUGGGCGCAAGCCUGAUCCAGCCAUGCCGCGUGUGUGAAGAAGGCCUUUGGGUUGUAAAGCACUUUCAGUAGGGAGGAAGCGUUGUGUGUUAAUAGUACACAGCGUUGACGUUACCUACAGAAGAAGCACCGGCUAACUCUGUGCCAGCCGCCGCCGUAACAC